rnacentral:tRNA from 1 species
GGGCGUAUAACUCAGCGGUAGAGUGCGAUCUUCACACGGUCGAAGCCGCAGGUUCAAGUCCUGCUACGCCCAUCA